rnacentral:snRNA from 1 species
AUUCUUACAUGACAUGGAGAAUACCAAGACCAUGAAGAUUGUUUUCCCAGGGCAAGACUUACUCAUUACACUCUGAGUGUGCUAAUCCCUGUGAUUUCCCCAAAUGUGGAGAACAAUAUUACAUAAUUUGUGGUAGUGAGGGACUGCCUUCA